AGAAGGAGAAACAGAAUUUGAUAGCAACUGGCCAUGUAGCCAGUUCCCAGGGCUUAUCUUGACACCUGGGUGGUAUGGAGUUUUCCAUUUGCACCGAUCGUAUCCUCUCUGAGGAUAAGGCUGACUGUGGGCAAAGGCUAGGGUGAGUAAUCCUCCACGACUCCUGAUUCACAUCUAGUUGUGGUAGCUUUCGGGCCCUUGUGAAUUGGAAGAGAAUUUAAAAGUCAGUGAACAGAUCUUGUGGAGCCCUCAUGUGCCAGGAUAUGAGACGGGGUCCAAUAAGGCCUGAUCCAAGGAAGUUGUGAUGAUGAAGGAAACUCCCCUGAGGAGGAGAUCAUUCAUCUGGCGUCGGGAGAGUGUAUUGGCAAGAGCCCCGUAGAAGCAACUUGCCCAUGUGGUGACUCAAGGAGAAGAGCGUCAUGUGUUCAAGGAUCUCAGAAAAGCUUACCACAGCGGAAAAGAAGACAGUCAUGAUAGAGGAGCAACAGACACAUUGUUUAUGUAUGAAAGGAACAGCUAAGACACAAAGAAAGAGAAGAUCUCCUAUGUUACAAGAAAGAAAAAGGAUCAUUUUCAUGAUACAGAACCUUUCAGAAUAUAUCAAGAAUUCCAGCGGAGCACACAGUUGACCAAUUUUUCUCAGGACUACUAAUAAAUCAAGAAACUGCCAAGACCACAGUGGCUGGAAGAAGACACAGGUCCACUGGUCAUUCACUGAAGACUGUAGUUCCUGUGAAGCGGGGGUGCUCUAUCGGUGAAAUCCAUGGGCUUCGAUCUUACAGAUCCUGAAUUCAAUCCCUCAUUAUAUUCCUUUCCAGCUUUGUGAACUUGGGUGUGGUAUUAACCUUUCAAAAUUUCUGUUUUAUCUGUAAAUGGAAAGAAUUAGAGUACCUGCCUGUUUUGUCUCCCAGAUGGAGGGCUCUUGGCUUACUCUGAGACACCGGUACUUUGAUUCAUUGUGAUAGCUUUGUGGUGGAAAUUGCUGGUAGAGGAAGAAAUCAAUAAAAAGUUUUC
ensembl:lincRNA